rnacentral:rRNA from 1 species
AACGAACGCUGGCGGCAGGCUUAACGCAUGCAAGUCGAGCGCCCCAAGGGGAGCGGCAGACGGGUGAGUAACACGUGGGAACAUACCCUUUACUACGGAACAACUCCGGGAAACUGGAGCUAAUACCGUAUGUGCCCUUUGGGGGAAAGAUUUAUCGGUAAAGGAUUGGCCCGCGUUGGAUUAGCUAGUUGGUGGGGUAAAGGCCUACCAAGGCGACGAUCCAUAGCUGGUCUGAGAGGAUGAUCAGCCACAUUGGGACUGAGACACGGCCCAAACUCCUACGGGAGGCAGCAGUGGGGAAUAUUGGACAAUGGGCGCAAGCCUGAUCCAGCCAUGCCGCGUGAGUGAUGAAGGCCUUAGGGUUGUAAAGCUCUUUCACCGAUGAAGAUAAUGACGGUAGUCGGAGAAGAAGCCCCGGCUAACUUCGUGCCAGCCGCCGCCGUAA